rnacentral:tRNA from 1 species
UCGGGGAUCGGCUAGUGGUAGGCUGCCUGGCUUUGAACCAGGCGACGAAGGUUCGAACCCUUCUCCCCGAA